ACUCCUCUCAGACGCGUCGCCCAGCCACACUCACCAUCCCAGAGCCGACGAAUCCGAGAGAGAAGGCCCUCUGCCUCUCCGCUGCUCUCAUCUCCAUCACAGGCCGCGGGAGAGACGACCGUCGACAGCCUCUCUGAGCCACGCCAAUCGCCGGGAACGAAAGCCUCGCCGAUGACGCCCUGAAGCACGCAUCGGAGCGCCGCUGUUUCGUCAUCAUUGUCGCCUGGCCGAAUCCAUCUAUCUCAAGCCAAGCCGCUGCGCCGUGAAGUUUGCCUCGACUUCCUCUUCAAGACGCCUCAAGAAUCACCAUCGGAGACACUAGGAGCACGGAGAACACGCCCCUUUUUCCUCGGCGCCGAUCUGAACCUGCCACCGUCGCUACUGCCGAAUCCAUCCUCUCCGUUCUUGGAGCUGUUCAAGCUAUCAUCGUCGACCCAGAGGAGAUUGCCGCCGCCGAGCAGUUGCACGAGUCGCCGUCACCCACCAAGCUUUGCCAGUCCUGUCUAGCAUCUCGAUAAUUGCAUAAUCGGUGAAGGACUGGAUUAGGUGCUAACGUUUCUCUGAUCAAGGCAAGUUUUCUCCUCCCAUCCUUUGAACACAUUGAAUCCCAUGAUUUGAGGAAUGAAAAUAUUUGUUUGCAAAGUUGCAUGUGAACUUAGACUAUAUCGGUAUUUAAAAUUGGGUUAAGGUAGUUAUGACCUAUUUGCUACAUACCCCCACCUUGAAUAAUUGAUCCUCUUGCUGUUUGAAACCCUAGAAAUGGUUAGAGUACACUCUUUGUGCUCAAAUGGGUUUAUAUAUGCUCUAUGUGCAACUACUUGCUUAGCCAUGCUUAGAAAUAUGCAAAUGCUCAUUCCAUCUAUAAUUAAAAUGUGAUUUUGAUACAUGAACCUUUGCUAGAAUAAAAUGAAUAUGAUGGGUAUUUGCGAACUAAAAUGUGUAAAAUGUGAUUUUAUACUUGGGCGGCAAGUGGUGUGCAUAUGGUGUUAGUUGCAUACCGAUAGGGGGAGUGUUUGCCCAAGUCCAUAAGGACCGAACUUGUGUCACCCAUUUAAAGUUAUUCGUACAUCCACAUGUGCUAGUAUGGGAUGGUCUAAGCUGAUUAAUCUAUUUAGGACUAGCCUUGCAUUCUGGUAGGCCGGUGUGUAUGAGUUCGUAUAAUUCAGAGGAGCUUCCUAUUUACCCCGACGUGGUAGUUUAGGUGACUAAACAUGUCCAAUACAACGGUAUUGUGCCACGUGGUGGGUUCCCGUCGUGUCCGCCACCACGGCGUUAAGUUUAAGGCGUGGGCCCACCACUUAACGGUUCUAGACAUAUUUCCAAGUAUGCCUAGGAUGGAGGAACACGUAUCGUGCUGGUGCAAGGCUAGAUUCUAAGUAGUGUAAAGGAUUCGUUGUGACCUCUAGUCCGCACUCAUAAUGUAGAGUGUGUGGUACUUGGCCGGCACUGAACCAACUAGAGUGUAGCCUCUAGGCUUCUAUCAUAUCAUGU